UUCCGGUGGCCAUUUUAGGAAUUGGAAGGCCGUGAGGAAAGUUGCCUGAGCUGACUCCCGCUCUUCGUGGCCGCCGCAGUAACCCUGGUGUCUUACCUAACUUCAGACUGCACCUGUAGUUCAAUCCUCGUCCUUUCCCCACGUUCCUUCGACGUGUUUAACUUUUGCUCGCCGGCCUCAGCCUUCACGUGGUCGCACGUCAGCCACUCAGGGCGAAGACAGCGAGAUUGUGAACAUUGCUGGCAAGGGCAACAUUUAUGUGUCCAUCUCUAAUUGCUCCAGAGAGAAGUGCCACAUUAACAGUCUUCCAGUGCUCUGGUACCAGUCAAAGAGGACUAGAAAUGAAGCUGAUGGAGGUGUUAUCAAGAACAUUUCCAAAUUCAAUGAUAAUGCUGAUGGUAAGCAAGAUCAAGGUGAUGCAGCUUCAGAACAAUCAUAUGAACAGUUCUGCCACCAUCUGCUCUGACUGAAUGGGCUGAACACUGAACACACCUGUACAAGCCUUUCUAGAACCACCAGCUGGAUACAUGGCACUGCUGGGCCUGUCCCUGUGAGGAGGCAGCAACAUCAUAAUGUCCCUGGUGUUACACUUGGACCACACAUCAAUGAUCAACAAUAUCGUAAAGCAGGGAUAGCCAUGCUUUGGACACUGGAGGCUGGAUAUAUGUCAGAACCAAUGAGUGGGCUACAUAUAAUUACAAAGAAAUGUGAGGAGAAAAGAUGGAACAUAACAAAGUCAGCUUGUGCCAGCUGCUGCACAUUGCAUAGAUACAAGUGUGAAAAGACAAGAAUCUAAUAUAGGAGGCAAGAGACAGCUCAC